CAUCGAUCCGAUUAUAAUUGAUAAUUUGAUCAUUGAAGUAACUAAGAUUUUCAUCCUAGGGCACCCUAGGGGGGCGUCUGGUAACCUAGCUACGCCGGAUGUAAGGAACAGGUGGAACAGGUGGAACAAGAUGCAAGGAACGGGACGACGGAACGACGCCAUUGUUUUUGAUUCAAUCGUUAAAAAAUAAAUCGUUUUAAAUAUUGUUCGUAUUUGAAAACGUUUGAAGACGUGAAGGAAAAAAUCUUGAAACAUUGGUGCUUCUGGGGCGUCUCAAGAUCGACUGAAAUAUGCAGCAGGUAAAAAGGUAAAGAGGACGGCCGAGCGCAAGGGAAAGGUCGCCGCAGUGAAAAGUUGGAAAAUUUAGGUUGACCUAAUCGUGGACUAAAUUAUUAGAACACAACUCGUAAAUACAAUGAGAAGAGGAUUUAUUAAUAUUUAAAAGGUGAAUGCAAAGGUUUGGGGAGCAUGAAAGAUGAGGACAGGCGGUGCAAGCCGAGUACCCUCUUGCCCCUGUGUGUCAUCCCGGUGGCUAACUUUCCAGUUCUGCAGUGUACACGUAUCUUGCUGGUUGAAUGCGAACGGGAGAAUUCAGAAACGCGAAAUAAUCCCUUGUUUUAUGAAUCCAGCAGAGCGCGGGUACGUAGAUACGCGCGUACAGGUAUACGUGGACGUCGAAGUUAACGAAGAGCUUGUAGGGGAACAAAAGCCCGUUGUUAUCCGGGAAAGGGUAAUUGUUCGAUCCGGCUAGGUAACAUCAAAUUUCUGUUUGCGAAAAUCUAUAGCCAUUUAGCUGCCGAAUCCCGUUGCCGCUAUUAUCUUUGGUUAAAUAUGAAAUAUAACAGGAGCCGAGAGAAUCGCUGGGAAGAAUAACGAAAUGAUUAAUUCCUCUUGAGCGAUUCCUUUCAAGCAAUGCCCGCUUACCCAUGGUGCACCCGGGUGACACGAUACGCGCGACAGGGAGGAGGAGAUCGGAUGGCAGGUGACGGCUGAAAUCAUUUUUAAGCGAUCUAAUUCUUUCACGUUUUCCUUUUCGAGCGAACAAUGAUUUAUCGCGUCGUAAAUUUUUCAAGAGGAUUUCAUACAAAAGAGAAGUUGGCGAAUCAGGAAGAAUAGGAGGAAAGAAGGAUAGAGUGGAGAUAAAGAAAGAAAAAUAGAAACUGAAACGAGAGACGGCGCAGGUUGUAGGGAACGGCGGGCGGGUGAGAGGCGUGCCGCGAGAAAUGUAGAGCAGAAAAUGAAAGCCGUCGAUGUGGAAACUAGAAAAAAAAAAAAAAAAAAGAUGUAGAUAAAUGAACGAAUAGAUAAAUGGACGUAGAUCGGCAACCAGAUAAGCAGAUGAACAACCGGAUAAACCCUUCUAUUUUUCGUUCGUCUCGAUAACGAAAAAUAUAUAUAGACAGAUACGAAACAGGGAUGUAAAGAAUAGUAGCGAGAGAAUGAGGAAGAAAUUGUCGAGAGGAGAGUACUGCUAAUAUCCUGGGGGCGGUCGUGGGAUAGGGUGCACCUGCGCGUAUGACAGAUACGCCCCUGGCAUAAAGGCGACAUUUAGGUCACCGGCUUUUACCGCGGCAGACUACACAUGCAGAGACCGGCCUUGCCAAUGAUCGUUUUCACUACUAACACCAACGUUCCAAAGAAUUUUCAGACUCUGUAUUAUCCGUUACCGUUGGAAAAUUAAUCCUUCUGCAGAAGCGUGCGCCUAAUUUUCCUCGAACCAUCAUCCUUGUACAUCUCUCUACCUUCGUUAAAAAAACUAAUCGUCGAACAACGUAAGAAGAAUAUCACGAUGGGUAAAUAAGAAGAAAUUGUAACGCCAAUCGAUUCCAUUUAACUAAUGUGCACUGAUGCACAUAUAAUGUAUAGCACUUUGAGCAGAGUAAACGGUGGAUGGAAAACUCCCAUCCAUCAGAAUGCAUGCAUAUAGCUUGGUCGUUCUACGUAUUUAACGAUUGAAUGCCAUAGUUUAAUUAUGAAGCACUUUACCAUCGAAUAAAUCACAAAAGGAUAAAUCUUAUAAAGAUCGUUCAUCGAUAUACUCCUCUUCUUGACAGGCUGAAUAAUGUAUCGCAACGAGAGGAUAUUACGAUUGAUGGAAUCAAGUGCAUCGAGAUGACCUAAAAUAAAAUUCAUUCUUAUCACCGACGUCAGUGGAUACCGUUUCGAAACUUUUCCCUUUGCCACCGACUGUUUAAUUAUUAUGUACCUUUAUGUUAUGCAAAUACCCAUUGUUCGUUUGCUUUUCCAGAAACGAAAGUUCUCGCCGAGGUUGAGUUGUGACCCACUCGAUCCAGCGGUUUGCACCCGUUUAACAUUGUCACAACUAUUCUGUCAUCGAGGGAUGAGUUUACCAAGCGACAAUAAUUUGACAACCGUGCACCGAGAAGCGACGCGUAGCACAUAACAAGGGGAAAAUUAUCGUCCUGACGCCAAUUUCGAUCCUGACAAGGCACCGCCACCGACGCCAGUGUACUUCGGUUCCCUAAGCCGAAGACACUUCCGCAAGGAUAUCGGCGAUUCCUUUGCUCUCAAACGAACAAGUUGAAUCUUCAGAAAUUUCACUACUUUAUUUUGGGAAUCCAAGGAGGACCGAUAGAGAAGUUUGCUUCGUCGACUAAAGGAACCGAAGGAAGUCCAUCCUGGGCAUCGUUUAAUGUUGAACACACAGCACGAUACAGGAAACUGUCUCGACGGAAAUACGAAACAGAAAUGGACGCAAGUACAAUAACCGACACUCCUUUAGGGAUACUAAAAAGCCCCGCAACUUGCCACGUACCUACGUUAGAGGCGAAAAGCGUUUGAUCACCUGAGAACCGUAUGAUCGAACAGGGAAUCAAACAGGAUAAGAAUAGAACAGAAUAGAUACCAGAGAGCCUAAGAAACUUGUACUUACGCAGAGAUAUUCUUUAUAAUUGAAAGCGAAGAGAAGCAUUUCGCUGGAGACAAUACAGCACGAUUGUCGAAGAGUACAUAAUGAUACUAAAUUUCCCGCGACAAACGAUGCCUGCUGCCGCUUGAAGCGCGACAGUGUUUUUCGAGGCCUCCAUUAAAAGUAUCCGCCUCGCGUAGCCAAAUGUCUCUCCUCGUCGCGUCGGUGGAACAAGCCGUCGCAGUCUAUUUCCUAAUUGCACCACCGAUGCUUUAAUACGGAGGAUCCAGGCUGGAAAAAUCAUCCACAAAUUAGUUGUUUGAAAGUUCCGGACGUCCUGAACCAUCCGACGAAUUUACCGGUGGACUUGUAAAAGGGGUUGAAUUCCAAACCGAUAGAUCUGACAGUCAUUUAAAGUGGUCCUAGGCUCUUGAAUGCCGACUUACGGCACUAACGACAACGCCAACCCCUUCCAAACAGCGAUUGCCACCACUUCGCCAUCCUCCCCUCUCCAGGUCAAGCUCCGCGAUCAGCAUCGAGCCGCACCAUGGUACACCUAUUUCAGCGUGCUGUGCGCACUCCACGAGCCUAGAUGAAACUCCGAUACCACCGGCUACCUUUCUUCAAUGAACAUCACAUCUGAUCCUUGUUUCAGUGGGACGUGGAAUCCUAAAAAGGGACUCGUUAAUCUCAAGAAGUUAUCAUAGCUUGCCUCGUCGCUAUUGAAAAGAGACAUUUCUUGAUCUCCUGUUAAUGCUUUUCUUGACUCUAUGGUAAAGCUGGCUGCAAUAUUAAUGUUAUCAUAGCAGUAUCAGUGUACUUAUCCUUCAGAACAUAGCUCACACUAGCUGUACAAAGAUUUGUUCGCUCAGUUACCUUCUAGUGAAAGUCCUCCAGUAACUUGUUCUUUUUCCAUAAGUAGCUGCCUUCUUCUCUAGUGUUACGAACACGAGGCUCGGUAAGAGCAAAAAGAGAAAAGAAAAGGAGCAGGCUGAAAGGACGAAGCCAGCAGUUUUCCAAUCAAUCGAACUCAGGAACGAAGAGCUCGUUGAUACACAAAGCAGAUGAGAUACAAUAGUGAGCUGGUAGCCUGAUAAUUAGCCGAGGAUCGAAGUUCCUGUGAACUAUCGUGGAACAAGUUCCUUAGUCACGCAUCAACUUCGUAAAAGACGCGGGAGAUCUCUUUCAAACUGGUGAGAGCACCGAUCGAUCGCGUUGCAACUGUGCAAAAAGUACGUGAAAAUGAUCGAACGAUAUUUGAUAUCCAAAUGUGUCGGACGAAAUUUUCAGGACAACUUUCUUUCCAUUGCUCCUCGAAUUUCACGAUUCAACGCUUAAAGGGCUCAAGCUUAUUUCGAAACGAACUUGUGCAUGGCUCAGAGAACCCUGUCCUUGCCACGGUUUCUCUUAUUCGCGAUCUUGAUGCUAUUUUCAGCGCAACCCUGAAUCUUAAUGAGCAUUAGAAUCAUGCUUCCAACGGGAACCAAGUUGCACAACUUCCGUCGAGUGUCAAGAAUCAUCUUAAAAAUCUCUUCACGCGUUGUAUCGCGUAGCGAAUAAUUUAUUUGCUGAAAAAUAAAGGUACACGCUAAAUUACUUCUGGGCCAAUCUGAUAGAAGUCUAUUCUAAGGACGAUCAAACGUGAAUUUGUUUUUUAAAUUAAGAAACAAAUUGCCAAGGUACCUCUUUGACGGUGUAACCACUUAUUUCUUAAUUUAUUUAUCUUCGCCGCUUUGAUUUCCUCCUCAUCGAACAGCCGGCAACUUUGUUUCUCUCGGCAAUCGUGUUCCCAAUUUAGAGAGCCUUGCGAAAGGAUUUACUUCUCCGGUGUAGAUCGAUGCUCGGGCAAAUACUCUGUCAAAAGUGUGCGCCGCGACGAACAUUCGUAUUCAUCUAUUCAAACGUUUAUUGCGCGUUACGCAGGAACGAGGAGAAAUAUCAUCGGUUUUGUAAGGGAGAUUUUUGACUGACUCCGAGUACCUGGGCUCCAGUCCCAACGAUACAUCAUUUAACACGCAUACACGGUGUUCCUCAUGAAACUAUGUAUUCUCAUUCUAUACUCUCCCUGAAAAAGUAAGAAAAAAAAAAAAAAAAA